UGUAUGGAGACUGUGUGUAUGGAGACUGUGUCUGUAAGUGACUGUGUCUGUAUGGAGACUGUCUGUGUAGAUGUAUGGACAUCAAGAACACAGUAGGGGUCACACAAGUCAGGCAUGUAGGUCUGCUGUAUCACUGUCAAGUCACUCACCACUUUUCAGGCUGAAUAGAUAACAAGCUAAAGUCAGACUGUCUUAGAGCAAUAUAUGUCAAGUCAGCUGUUAGACCUUGCAGCAUUAGGCUCGAGGAUGUAGUUUUCCAUAGUUCAGAUGAAGAAGACAUCAGCUGCUUAAAACUUCCAUCCUAGGUUAAACGUUUGUAUGUUGUUCUUAUCAAUAUUCCGGCUAUAUGAUCUCGACUUUUAAACAUCACUUGUGGAGAUCCAGGUUAGAAUGGGUCUUCACUAACCUAUGCUUGUUAGUGGGUGUCCAGACUCACUGACAUGCUCAACACGUCAUCCCAGUUGCAUAGAUCCAUGCUCAUGCUGUUGAUCACUGGAUUGUGUGGUCCAGACUCGAUCAAUUAUAGUAUCAGUAACUUGAGACAAAGAUGUCAACCAAUAGGGCUUCAACAGUUAUCCCUGACUCAGCUCUAGGAUCCCGCGAGCAGCCUUGUAGUAUCAGCCAUUGCUUACAUCUUCUUCCAAAGAUCAGAAGGUCGUCGUCAUCAGGGAGGAUGUCUUCCAAGACCACCUGCUGAGAAGUGGUCCAUGCUGUACGGGAACAGGGUGGACCCAGUCCAAACAUGCCAGGCCGGAGUAGACAAGCAAUUCCUCCACACCCUCCCUUCACCAUCAUCAGGACCAUGCAGUCCGGGAACAGGGUGGACCCGGUCCAAACAUGCCAGGCCGGAGUAGACAAGCAAUUCCUCCACACCCUCCCUUCACCAUCAUCAGGACCAUGCAGUCCGGCACCAUGACCGAGAGACUUCCGAGUCGGUUCCAGUAGUUUUCCCAUUAGCCAGUCGUCCUAUUCUACCGAGAAGGGAGAAGGUUGUGCAGACAGAUGAUAGGUCGAUAGAUUAACGACUGUUGUGCAUUACAACACCUGGUAGACACAGUCAGUUCAAGGACGGGGUAGUUUCGUAUGGUCAAGGUACAGAAGACGCAAUAGAUGCAUAGAAAUACUUAUUUAACACUACUGAAAGUGCAAGUGCAAAGGAGUUGUGUAUUUCUUAAUUUUUUUAUAUGUUUAUACAUGUUUGUAUAUGUUUAUAUUUGUUUCUAUACGUUCAUAAAAUGAAGCUGGUUUUCAUGAGGAUAUACUAAACUUGAAACCUUCACAUUGAAUGUGUCGAAGAUGAUGCAGACUGAUUUUGUGUGCUGGUGAUUUGGUGCCUGGCUCUGAGAGUGUGGGUUCGAAUCCCGAAUGGGACACAACCCAACAAAAGUACUAGAAUCGGUACAUUACUCAGAAAGUGUGAUCCCAAAUAUAACUUGUUACAUUUGACUACUUUCUAAAUGACAUUGUGUAUUCAUAAAUGUAACAGAGAUAAGGUUUUUGAAGGAAUUUUUAAGUAAAUAUCAUCUUUGUUUGUAAUUCGAGCAUGCAAUGUCUACAACAAUAGAAGUUUUGAGAAUAAUAUAUUCCUUAGAUGUGCUUGUGGUGGAUUUUUUUUAAGUUUAAAUUUAUUAGUCCCCCUCCUACCUAUCUAUCUAUUCUAGCCACAUCUAGUUGAUGUCGGUUAUUGAAAAGUACUGAUGUAACUCUCGUUCUGUGCAUGCAGUUUUCCUAACAACUGACUAAGGUGGCUGACAUUUAACAACCAUCUUAUCCAAAUCACAGAUGUAUUUGUGUCAUGUUAACUUAAGUGAAGGAAUAGUGGUUAUGAUGUAAGACAGUGUUGAUGGAGUCAGGCACAAUGGUUAUUGUUUAUUUAUUGUGGAACAAAAUGAAAGUUGUAAGAAUAUAGAAAGAUGAUCUGUUACAUUUCCCCCUGAUGACAAUGGGGAAAAUAAGAGUGUAAGGAUGAAAUGUAAUCAUGUCUGAAGGUAAACGCAGGGUAAUCAUACUCAUGAAUCAUCCAUGAUUAUCCACACUCACUCACUCACUCCUUGCCUUUCGGUGAUUGUGGUUCAGUUAAGAACUUUAGGGUCCGAAGUUAUCCAGACGAAGCCACAUUGGCCGUUAUGGAAUGGAGAUGUCAUAUCAUUAUACUCAAUACUUGGAUUUAUACAUAUUUGAUUUUCUGAUGUUCUGCUUUAUAAGUUACCUGCUGUCAUACUAAUGUAUAUAGCAUUCAUGUUCUUGUAAUAAAAAUACCCACUCAUA